UGAAAAUACAUACAGGUGAAAAAACCCAUGAUUGUAAUGUAUGCGGUAAAGGGUUUAGUCGGUUAGGUCAUUUACAGAGACACAUGAGAACACAUACAGGUGAAAAACCUCAUGAGUGUGAUGUAUGUGGUAAAGGGUUUAGUCGGUUAUGUCAUUUACAGAGACACAUGAGAACACAUACAGGUGAAAAACCUCAUGAGUGUGAUGUAUGUGAUAAACGGUUUAGUCAGUUAGGUCAUUUACAGAGUCAUAUGAGAACGCAUAUCGGUGAUAAACCUCAUAAAUGUGAUGUAUGUGGUAAAGGCUUUAUUAGGCGUCGUGAAUUACAGAAUCACACGAGAACACAUACAGGGGAAAAACCUCAUGAAUGCGAUGUAUGUGGUAAAGGCUUUAUUAGGCGUCGUGAUUUACAGAAUCACACAAGCAUACAUACAGGUGAUAAACCUCAUGUAUGUGAUGUAUGUGGUAAAGGGUUUAGGCAGCGUGGAGUCUUACAGAUUCACAUGAGAACACAUACAGGUGAUAAACCUCAUGAGUGUGAUGUAUGUGGUAAAGGGUUUAGGCAGCGUGGUGACUUACAGAUUCACAUGAGAACACAUACAGGUGAUAAACCUCAUAACUGUGAUGUAUGUGGUAAAGCGUUUAGUCAUCGUAGUAGCUUACAGAGACACAUGAGAAUACAUACAGGGGAUAAACCUUAUGACUGUGAUGUGUGUGGUAAAGGAUUUAUUCAGCGUCGUGAUUUACAGAAUCACAUGAGAACGCAUACAGGUGAUAAACCUCAUAAAUGUGAUGUAUAUUAUGAAGGGUUUAGUCUUAUGGAGGAUCUAGUGAGUAAUCAGGUAGAGGAUCUAUUAAGUAAUGAGGUGGAUGAUCUAGCGAGUAAUAGUACCGUACAAAUUCAAAAUGAAACACAGGAUAGGAAUGCACCUCAUGAAUGUGACGUUUGAAUUAAAGAAUUUUUUCGAGAAAGUAAUCUUAAAAGACACAUACAAUAUCACAUUUUAUGCAUUGUGAACCUGAUGAAACCGAAUACCUGCCAAAACCGAACGAAAUCUCAAGUCCCGAAAGGGUUCGGUUUAGUCAGGUUUUACUGUAUGUGCUAAAAUAUUUUUUUUAAGCCUAGCCGUUUAAAGAGACACUCAAACAGGUGAAAAAACCCAUGAUUGUAAUGUAUGUGGUAAAGGAUUUAGUCAGCGUAGUAGCUUACAAAUACAUAUGAGAACAGACUCAGAUGAUAAACCUCAUGUUUGUGAUGUAUGUGGUAAACGGUUUAGUCAGUUAUGUAAUUUGCAGAGACACACGAGAACAAAUACAGGUGAUUAUCUUCAUGCCUGUGAUGUAUGUGGUAAAGGAUUUAGUCAGCGUAGUAGCUUACAAAUACAUAUGAGAACAGACUCAGAUGAUAAACCUCAUGUUUGUGGUGUAUGCGGUAAAGGGUUUAGUCAGUUAGGUAAUUUACAGAGACACACGAGAACACAUACAGGUGAUAAUCUUCAUGCCUGUAAUGUAUGCAGUAAAGAGUUUAAUCAGAGAUGUGGUUUACAGUACCACAUGAGAAUUCAUACAGGUGAUAAACCCCAUGAAUGUGAUAUAUGUUGUAUAAGGUUUAUUGCUGUAAGAAAUUUACAUAGUCAUAUGAGAACGC
rnacentral:lncRNA from 1 species